GACGAACGCUGGCGGCGUGCCUAAUACAUGCAAGUCGAACGCUGAAGGAGGAGCUUUCUCUUCUGGAUGAGUUGCGAACGGGUGAGUAACUCGUAGGUAACCUGCCUUGUAGCGGGGGAUAACUAUUGGAAACGGUAGCUAAUACCGCAUAACAGUAGCUGUUGCAUGACGUUUCCUUAAAAGUUUCAAUUGCUUCACUACCAGUUGGACCUUCGUUGUAUUAGCUAGUUGUAGUGGUAUCGGCUGACCAAGGCGACGAUCCAUAGCCGACCGGAGAGGGUGAGAGGCCAGACUGGGAGGGAGACACGGCCCAGAGGGAUAGGGGAGGGAGCAGGACGCAAACGUGGGGAAGGGAAGGAGGAUAGAACGAGAAACGCCGAGGGAGGGAAGAAGGUUGUCGGGUCGUAAAGGUCUGUUGUAAGAGAGGAAAGCGUGUGAGAGUGGAAAGUGCAGACAGUGACGGUAACGGACCAAAAAGCGACGGCUAACUACGUG
rnacentral:rRNA from 1 species